rnacentral:lncRNA from 1 species
UAUAUUAUAUUAAGAUAAAAUUCUGCCAAUGAAAUAGCAAUUCAAAGAGAUAAAUAUGUAAAAUUUCAACAAGAACAUGUUCAUGUAUCAUUUAAAGGGAUGAUAUUGUAACUCACAAAUUGUUAAGACAUUAGGAGUCCAUUACAUUGGAAAGAGUAAUACAAUAGUUGAUUUUAAAUAUUUACACUAUACUAGAAAUCAUAACCUUUGCAACCAUUUAAAACAAUUUUGUAAAGUUUAGAAGUCAGCUUAAAAACAUUUACGAUGAUACAGAGCUUUUCAAAAUUCUCAAAGAGAGAAUGUUAGCAAACUCUUUUGCAAAAACAAUGACCUAGUGGACAAAAAGUAUGAAACCUCCUUUAGGAGAAUAGCAGUCUUGAAGAAACUAUUUUUACUGGAAGGCAGAUUUAUUGCCACCAGAAGCUGAAAGCCAAAAUCCUCACAAUGGCCUGCAAAGCCUUAUUCUAAAUUCCCAAUCCUCCUUUUCCUACUAUUCUUUUCCCAGCUCACUCUACCCUAGUAAUACUGUGCUCCUUGUUAUACUUAGGACAAGCUAGACAGGCCCUGCCUCUGACAUUCGCAUUGCUUAUUCCCUCUACUGGAAACACUUUCUUUUCAUGUCUUCAUGUCCUGCUCUGGUGACCUCCUUCAAGUCAUUAUCUUACAUGCACUGAAGCCUCCCCCUACCAUCCUACAUAAAAUUGCAGUUGCCUCAACUCCAACCUCCUCCUGUUUAAUCUGUUUCCCCUGGCACACAAUACUUUUCACACACAGUGUAAUUGAAUUAUUUAUUCAGUUGCUAGUUUUUACCCCCUCUAGAAUGCAAGCCCCAGGAGAGCAGAGGUUUUUGUCUCUUGCUCACUGCUUAUUUGCAGCACCUAAAACAGCCCCUGGAAUGUCGUAGGCAUUAAAUAAAAUAUGUUGCAUGGGUGAAUCUGCAAGUUGCUUUUAAGAUUCAUGGCCUGCAUGUGAAAGCCUUUUUUAAGAGGAAGUGAUUAAAAACUCUUAUAAAUUUAAUUUUCACUGUCAGUAGGAAUAAUGGGAGUCUCUCAUAACAGAUUAAGGAACCAAGUAAAAAGGCCAUCCUUAUUCCCUACUAAGUCGUUUAUUAUAGAUAUAACUUAUCCUCACUACUAGCAAGAUCGUAAAGAGGCUUUUAUUCGUUCCUUCAUUCAUUCUUUCAGUUAGUCAAUAAAGGAAUAUAUAUUCGGCAUGUAUUGGCUACUGUGCCAUCAGGGCAAAGGUAAAUAGAAAUCCCCCCUUGCCUCCCCACUUGGGCAUAGGACAGGUUAGUAAAAUAGAGCACUUUUAAUUUUUCAAAUGUAUAGUUCUUAAAAAUGUCUAUAAUUUUAAAAAUAUAGUUUUACCCACAUUUGUCUCUAAAUUCAAUGUACUCCUCAAUAGGAAUUUCAUGGAAUUUAAUGAGAUGAUCAUACAUGAUGAACAAAAUGUCAUGGAAUUUGAUGAGAUGAUCAUAUGAUGAACAAAAGGCCAAGAACAACCAAAAUAUUUUGGAAGAGAAGGAAGAAUCAGUUUAAAAAGCCCUUCGUCUAACACUAAGGCUUAUUAUAAAGCUAUAAUAAGUAAAAGUGUAUAUUGACAGUAGGAUAGACAAAUACAAUAAUGAAAUAUAGUGGAGAACUCUGCACAUAUGGAAGCUUGCAAUAUGACAGAAAUGACGUUACAGAUUAUUCAAGAGAGGUUGGAUUCUUCCAUAGAAUGCUGGAUUAUUUAAAUUAUUGUUUAGAAUGUUGCUCUUAUUAUGAAAAAAAAAGACCUCUACUCUUCCACCCAAAGAAAUUCCAGAUGGGCUAAAGACCAAAACUUAAAAACAAAAAUUUAAUAAUACUUACUAGAAACUUUAAGAGAGUGUAUUUAUGAUCUUAUGGUAUAAAAUAGACUUCUUUUAAAAAGGACUAAAGAAAAACAGUAACAUAAAGAUUGAUUUACUUUACCAAAGCUAUCAUAAGUAAAUAUAAAAAACAAGCACAAAACAGAAAGAAACACUUGAUUGAUAGAUAUAUAAAGGAUCAAAAAUUAUUAUAUAUUAUGUAUUUAUAAUAUUAAAGAGAUUUCAUCAAUCAAUAAGAAAAAUACCGGCGUUCCCGUUGUGGAUGAGCAGAAACGAAUCCAACUAGGAACCAUGAGGUUGCAGGUUCCAUCCGUGGCCUCACUCAGUGGGUUAAGGAUCUGGUGUUGCAGAGAGUUGUGGCGUAGGCUUCAGACGUGGCUUGGAUCUGAUGUUGCUGUGGCUGUGGUGUAGGCCAGCAGCUCUGUAGCUAUGAUUUGACCCCUAACCUGGGAACCUCCAUGUGCUGCAAGUGCGGCCCUGAAAAAGCAAAAAGAAAAAAAGAAAGAAAGGGAAAGAAAAAUACCCUUAAAUACAUGGAUGGACAUCAGUUGAGAGACUAAGUUAUCCAAAUGACAAAUAAAUGAAAAAUACUUAUGCUCAGAAAUGAACCAGAACAUUCAAGUUAAGCCAGUAAUAACAAAACAUUUCAUAAUCAUUAGAUUGUCAAAUGCCAAGUGUUGGAAAGAAUGUAGAGAAAAUCUCCCAUAAUGUUGGUUGGUGGAUAACUUGGUCAAAAAACACAGGAGGGUAUUUGUAUGUAUGUAAUUAGUUUAAAGUGAUCAAAUAUUUUAGUUUAGCAAAUUCUUAAUAUACACUUUGGAUAAACUUGCAUACUUGCAUAGGUGCACAGAGAAACACAGAGGCGUACUCAUUGUGGCUUUUUUUUUUUUUUCCGCUGUGCCUGCAGUAUGUGAAAAUUCCCAGCCUAGGGAUCAAACCACUACCAAAGCAGCAACUAGAGCCACUGCAGUGACAACACCAGAUCCUUAACUCACUGCACUGCAGCAGGAACUCCUCAUUGUGGCUUCUUACUACAAUAAUACAUUAGAAACAACAAUUCACGUAGAAUACCAAAAAGCAGUUAAAUAAACAAAUUAGAUUCAUUAUGUGUCAAAAUAAUAAAAUUAAUGAAAAAAGCAAUUCAGAGUAAAAUGUUCGCAACACACAAUUCAAUGCUUACAUUGAAUUAUAUGUGUUGCUUACAGUUGCAUAUGUAUGUAAUAAAGGUGGGUGAAUGGGAACUACCACCAAUUUCUCCCAGUUCCAAAAGUCCAUAACACCCCAUAUACAAAAAUAUGUUCUGUAUAUUUGUGGUUUCUGCGUUACUUUUACCAAGGUAUUGUAAUAAUUCAAAAGAUAGAAACAGCUAUUUUCUUCCUGGGAAAUCCUUGCCAUGUCAUGGUUUUAACUCACAUCCUUCGAUGUAAACCCUUCGUCUCAAUCUACCUCCCUGUCCCAAAUUGCUCCUUUGGAUGUCAGAACUGCAUGUUGCUAUAGUUCCCUAGACAUUGGAUGCCCACCAGGCCCCUAACACCGAACGAUUGAAAGAUGAACUCAUCUUCCCUUGAAGCCCUUGCUCCUCACCUGCCUCAGGUUCCUGUCUCAGAGAAUGGCUUAGUCAUCUCACAGAUUACUCACAUACAUGAUCUCCGCCUCCACUCUCUUCCUCAGUCCCCACAUCCUGUUACAAAGUAUUCUCUAUCCCACUUGUCAAAUAUUUAUUUCAGCCUUCCUUUUCUCACCAUUCCAGAUGUGGAACCAUGCCCAAGCCCCUUGUCUUUGGGCUAGAUUAUUACCAUAGCCUCCUCAUCUCUUCACUGCAGUGCAGCUAAAAAGCAAAUCAAACUGUGCAACUUCCAAGUGCAGUGCUUCUAAUGUAUGUCCUUCUAAUGUAUGCCCUUAGUAUGUCCCCUGAUUAAAAUCUUACAAUGGGACCUACUUGUCCUUAGGAUAGAGGUCAGGCUUCUCAGAACUGUUGCAGGAUUCUUUAUAAUGUGGUGUUUGCCUCUUUCUCCUCCCCAGUUCUCAUUCCUCCUUCCUUUUCUACUCAGCCUUUCAGCUAACAUGAACAUUUUUUUAAAAUUCCUCCUUCAGAUAUGUUUCCUCUGCCUCUAGGACUUUGUUCAUGUGAUCCUAUUCACUCAUUCUCCUCCUUUACUGAACUAACUUCUACUCGUUCUAUAUGUUCACUCUCCCUCCCUUCCUUCUUUCCUUCCUUCCCUUCCUCCCUCCCUCCCUCCCUCCUUCCUUCCUUCCUUCUUUCCUUUCUCUCUCUAUUUCUUUCCUUUUCCUUUUUAGGUCCACACCUGCAACAUAUGGAAGUUCUCAGGCUAGGGGUGUAAACAAGAGCUGCAGCUGCCAUCCUAUGCCACAGCCAUAGCAACACCAGAUCUGAGACAUGUCUGCGACCUAAACCACAGCUUGAGGCAUUGCCAGAUCCUUAACCUGAGUGAGGCCAGGGAUCAAACACGCAUCCCCACAAACUAUGUUAGGUCCUUAACCCACUGAUCCACAGUGGGAACUCCUGUUUGCCUUCUCCUAAUUCCCAAGUCUGAAUUACAUGCCCCUCUUUUGUGCUGUUCUCAGACUGCCACAUAGAGGUGCACAGGUCAUGCACAGCACAACUCUAUAGGGUGCUAUUCACAUCAUGAUCUAUAUGGCUCCUGGAGUUGCGCAAUGUGGUCAUGUCUAUAGUAUCUCUAUCACAGUGCUAAAUGUACUCUAAUGUAAUUGCCUGCUGACUUGUCUUUCUUACUAUUUCACUAAGUAGACAAGGGACAUCACACCAGAGACUGGAAGUCAACAAAUUAAAAACAAAACAAAACAAAACAAUUGAUUCUUCAUCUUGGUCAUGAGGUUAUAUAAGCACAUACCCUCUGCUUAUACACUAGGAUAUCCUUUUAGGGAAAGAAACAGAGAAAGGGCAGGCCACCUAAGAAAUGGAACAUUUUUAUCCAAGACAGAGGGAGCCUUUCCCAAAAGAUAUAAAAGUAAAAUACCUAAGCAAUGAAACAUAAGUUCCAUGGGAGCAGGGGAUUUUUGUUUGUUUCUGUUUGGUCCAUUGCUGAUUCCUCUGACCCAACAUAGUGUCUUAUACCUGGUAGUCCUAAAGAAAGGUUUUCCGGAAGGAGUCAUUUGCUUCAUGAUUAUUAUUGUAGUCUAUACUUCAACUGGAUUGAG